rnacentral:rRNA from 1 species
UAGUGGCGAACGGGUGAGUAACACGUGGGCAAUCUGCCCUUCACUCUGGGACAAGCCCUGGAAACGGGGUCUAAUACCGGAUAUCACUUCUGCUCGCAUGGGUGGGGGUUGAAAGCUCCGGCGGUGAAGGAUGAGCCCGCGGCCUAUCAGCUUGUUGGUGAGGUAGUGGCUCACCAAGGCGACGACGGGUAGCCGGCCUGAGAGGGCGACCGGCCACACUGGGACUGAGACACGGCCCAGACUCCUACGGGAGGCAGCAGUGGGGAAUAUUGCACAAUGGGCGGAAGCCUGAUGCAGCGACGCCGCGUGAGGGAUGACGGCCUUCGGGUUGUAAACCUCUUUCAGCAGGGAAGAAGCGCAAGUGACGGUACCUGCAGAAGAAGCGCCGGCUAACUACGUGCCAGCAGCCGCGGUAAUACGUAGGGCGCAAGCGUUGUCCGGAAUUAUUGGGCGUAAAGAGCUCGUAGGCGGCUUGUCACGUCGGGUGUGAAAGCCCGGGGCUUAACCCCGGGUCUGCAUU